CACGUAGGGUGCGAGCGUUGUCCGGAAUUAUUGGGCGUAAAGGGCUCGUAGGCGGUUUGUCGCGUCGGGAGUGAAAUCCACUGGCUUAACUGGUGGCUUGCUUUCGAUACGGGCAGACUGGAGGUAGGUAGGGGAGAAUGGAAUUCCCGGUGUAGCGGUGAAAUGCGCAGAUAUCGGGAGGAACACCGGUGGCGAAGGCGGUUCUCUGGGCCUUACCUGACGCUGAGGAGCGAAAGCGUGGGGAGCGAACAGG
rnacentral:rRNA from 1 species